UACGGAGGGUGCAAGCGUUAUCCGGAUUCACUGGGUUUAAAGGGUGCGUAGGAGGGCAGGUAAGUCAGUGGUGAAAUCUCCGAGCUUAACUUGGAAACUGCCGUUGAUACUAUCUGUCUUGAAUAUUGUGGAGGUGAGCGGAAUAUGUCAUGUAGCGGUGAAAUGCUUAGAUAUGACAUAGAACACCAAUUGCGAAGGCAGCUCACUACACAAAGAUUGACACUGAGGCACGAAAGCGUGGGGAUCAAACAGG
rnacentral:rRNA from 1 species